rnacentral:rRNA from 1 species
AUACGGAGGGUGCAAGCGUUACUCGGAAUCACUGGGCGUAAAGCGCGCGCAGGCGGUCUUUUAAGUUGGAUGUGAAAGCCUACGGCUCAACCGUAGAACUGCAUCCAAAACUAUUAGACUAGAGUGUGGGAGAGGAAGAUGGAAUUAGUUGUGUAGGGGUAAAAUCCGUAGAGAUAACUAGGAAUACCAAAAGCGAAGGCAAUCUUCUGGAACACUUCUGACGCUGAGGCGCGAAAGCGUGGGGAGCAAACAGGAUUAGAUACCCCGGUAGUCC